rnacentral:rRNA from 1 species
UACGUAGGGGGGCAGUGUCGUUCGUUCGAUUUGUGGCGUAAAAGAGCGUGUAGGCGGCCAGGUAGGUCUCUGUGAAAACUCGAGGCUCAACCUCAGACGCGGUGGAAACCAUCUGGCUAGAGUCCGGAAGAGGAGAGUGGAAUUCCUGGUGUAGCGGUGAAAUGCGCAGAUAUCAGGAGGAACACCCGUGGCGAAGGCGGGCUCU